rnacentral:rRNA from 1 species
UACGUAGGGGGCAAGCGUUGUCCGGAUUUAUUGGGCGUAAAGAGCGUGUAGGCGGCUAUACAGGUCCGCUGUGAAAACUCGAGGCUCAACCUCGAGACGUCGGUGGAAACCGUAUGGCUAGAGUCCGGAAGAGGAGAGUGGAAUUCCUGGUGUAGCGGUGAAAUGCGCAGAUAUCAGGAAGAACACCGAUGGCGAAGGCAGGUCUCUGGGCAUUAACUGACGCUGAGGAGCGAAAGCAUGGGGAGCGAACAGG